GACGAACGCUGGCGGCGUGCUUAACACAUGCAAGUCGAACGGAAAGGCCCUGCUUUUGUGGGGUGCUCGAGUGGCGAACGGGUGAGUAACACGUGAGUAACCUGCCCUUGACUUUGGGAUAACUUCAGGAAACUGGGGCUAAUACCGGAUAGGAGCUCCUGCUGCAUGGUGGGGGUUGGAAAGUUUCGGCGGUUGGGGAUGGACUCGCGGCUUAUCAGCUUGUUGGUGGGGUAGUGGCUUACCAAGGCUUUGACGGGUAGCCGGCCUGAGAGGGUGACCGGCCACAUUGGGACUGGGGUACGGCCCAGACUCCUACGGGAGGCAGAAGUGGGGAAUAUUGCACAAUGGGCGGAAGCCUGAUGCAGCAACGCCGCGUGCGGGAUGACGGCCUUCGGGUUGUAAACCGCUUUCGCCUGUGACGAAGCGUGAGUGACGGUAAUGGGUAAAGAAGCACCGGCUAACUACGUG
rnacentral:rRNA from 1 species